AUUUACUUGAACCUAGGCAAUAUCUUAAUAAACUUAACAAGCACAAAACUACAAGAACCAAAUACAAAAACUAUGCUUUCUGUAUAUCAGAUAAUUUCUCAUAUACUCACUCUUGUGAAUUGCAUUGACUAAAUCAUAGAAUUUAUCAUGAGAUUGCCAUUGUAAGUCAAGAACUACAUGUAUUUUCAGGCAUUUGACCCCAUUAUUUGACCAGAUUAUCCACUAGGGACAAUAGACAGAUGACUAGGGGAGGCUCCUUUGUUCUCAAACAUCUAGCAGAGCAAAGGAGCAGUCAUGUCUGUUGUGGGAUGAUCAUGCUCUCUGGACACACUGAAUCCAUAACUGGAACAGAUUUUUCUGGAAGAAUAUCAUUAAUCAUAUUACCACUUUUCUUCCUCUUUAGAUUUCAAGUAUCAACAGAGGUAUUAGAAACAGAUCUAACAAUUCUAGCUUUUUAUUAAUCUAUCUGCAAGUCAUUUUUAUAAGAUCUA
rnacentral:lncRNA from 1 species